rnacentral:tRNA from 1 species
UCCCCGAUAGUUCAGUUGGUAGAACGCCGGACUGUUAAUCCGUAUGUCGCUGGUUCGAGUCCAGCUCGGGGAGCCA